AAUCAACGCUGGCGGCGCGCCUAACACAUGCAAGUCGAACGAGAACGGGUAGCAAUACCUUAGUAAAGUGGCGUACGGGUGAGUAACACGUGGAUCAUCUACCUUCUAGUGGGGAAUACCGUUGGGAAACCGACAACAAUACCGCAUAAGCUCGAGAGAGGAAAGCAGCAAUGCGCUGGAAGAGGAGUCCGCGGUCGAUUAGUUAGUUGGCAGGGUAAAGGCCUACCAAGACUGUGAUCGAUAGCCGGCCUGAGAGGGCACACGGCCACACUGGCACUGAAACACGGGCCAGACUCCUACGGGAGGCAGCAGUGGGGAAUAUUGCACAAUGGGGGAAACCCUGAUGCAGCGACGCCGCGUGAGCGAUGAAGCCCUUCGGGGUGUAAAGCUCUUUCGGCAGGGACGAUUAUGACGGUACCUGCAGAAGCAGCUGCGGCUAACUACGUGCCAGCAGCCGCGGUAAUACGUAGGCAGCAAGCGUUGUUCGGAAUUACUGGGCGUAAAGGGUGCGUAGGCGGCUUUUUAAGUUUGGUGUGAAAUCUCCCGGCUCAACUGGGAGGGUGCGCCGAAUACUGAGAAGCUAGAGUGUGGGAGAGGAAAGUGGAAUUCCUGGUGUAGCGGUGAAAUGCGUAGAUAUCAGGAGGAACACCGGUGGUGUAAACGGCUUUCUGGACCAUAACUGACGCUGAGGCACGAAAGCGUGGGUAGCAAACAGGAUUAGAUACCCUGGUAGUCCACGCCCUAAACGAUGCAUAUUUGGUGUGGGCCAUUCAUUUGGUCCGUGCCGGAGCUAACGCGUUAAAUAUGCCGCCUGGGGAGUACAGUCGCAAGGCUG
rnacentral:rRNA from 1 species